rnacentral:lncRNA from 1 species
GAAGAUGCGAGAAGCGAGGCUGAGGUGGUUCGGGAAUGUGCGGAGGAGAAGUCCUGAUGCCCUGAUGAGGAGUUGUGAGCGGCUGGCGACGGUCGGCGUACGACGAGGCAGAGGGAGGCCUAAGAGGUAUUGGGAGAGGUGAUUAGGCAUGACAUGGCCAGAAUGCGGGUUUUUGAGGACAUGGCCCUUGAUAGGAAAGUCUGGAGGUCUAGUAUCAGGGUU